UACAGAGGUCUCAAGCGUUGUUCGGAUUCAUUGGGCGUAAAGGGUGCGUAGGCGGCGCGGUAAGUCGGGUGUGAAAUCUUGGAGCUUAACUCCGAAACUGCAUUCGAUACUGCCGUGCUUGAGGACUGGAGAGGAGACUGGAAUUACGGUGUAGCGGUGAAAUGCGUAGAUAUCGUAAGGAAGACCAGUGGCGAAGGCGGGUCUCUGGACAGUUCCUGACGCUGAGGCACGAAGGCCAGGGGAGCAAACGGG
rnacentral:rRNA from 1 species